rnacentral:rRNA from 1 species
AGUGGAUGGGGAGCAACCUAGUUGUGCGUGUGUAAAGGUAGUGCCAAGAAAAGCGAUGAUCAUGUUGAAAAUCAAUUCCCGGUACCCGAAACCGACACAGGUGGGCAAGUAGAGAAUACUAAGGGGCGCGAGGUAACUCUCUCCAAGGAACUCGGCAAAAUGACCCCGUAACUUAGGGAGAAGGGGUGCCACCGAGAGGUGGUCGCAGUGAAGAGGCCCAGGCGACUGUUUAGCAAAAACAUAGGUCUCUGCAAACUCGAAAGAGGAGGUAUAGGGGCUGACGCCUGCCCAGUGCCGGAAGGUUAAAGAAGUUGGUCAGUUUUAGGAUGAAGCUAGCGACUGAAGCCCCGGUGAACGGCGGCCGUAACCAUAACGGUCCUAAGGUAGCGAAAUUCCUUGUCGGGUAAGUUCCGACCCGCACGAAAGGCGUAACGAUCUGGGCGCUGUCUCGGAGAGAGGCUCGGCGAAAUAGGAUUGUCUGUGAAGAUACGGACUACCUGCAUUUGGACAGAAAGACCCUAUGAAGCUUUACUAUAGCUUGGAAUUGUGUUCGGGCUUCCUGUGCGCAGGAUAGGUGGGAGGCGUAGAAGGUAUUCUUGUGGGGAUACUGGAGCCAACGGUGAGAUACCACUCUCAGGAGGCUAGAAUUCUAACUUAAUUAAGGACAGUUUCAGGUGGGUAGUUUGACUGGGGCGGUCGCCUCCAAAAAGGUAACGGAGGCGUACAAAGGUUCCCUCAGACUGGUUGGAAAUCAGUCGAAGAGUGCAAAGGCAGAAGGGAGCUUGACUGCGAGAAGUACAGUUCGAGCAGGGUGGAAACACGGUCUUAGUGAUCCGACGGUGCUGUGUGGAAGGGCCGUCGCUCAACGGAUAAAAGUUACUCUAGGAUAACAGGCUGAUCUCCCCCAAGAGUUCACAUCGACGGGGAGGUUUGGCACCUCGAUGUCGGCUCAUCGCAACCUGGGGCGGAAGUACGUCCCAAGGGUUGGGCUGUUCGCCCAUUAAAGCGGUACGUGAGCUGGGUUCAGAACGUCGUGAGACAGUUCGGUCCAUAUCCGAUGUAGGCGUGAGAAUAUUGAGAGGAGCCUUCCUUAGUACGAGAGGACCGGGAAGGACGCACCGCUGGUGUACCUGUUAUGAUGCCAAUUGUAAACGCAGGGUAGCCAAGUGCGGAGAGGAUAACCGCUGAAAGCAUCUAAGUGGGAAGCCCACCUCAAGAUGAGUAUUCUGGUGUAAGGUCACGGGAAGACGACCCGUAAAUAGGCACGAGGUGGAAGUGCAGAGAUGUAUGAAGCCGAAGUGUACUAAUAGACCGUCGGCUUGAUC